rnacentral:rRNA from 1 species
UAGGGAAUCUUCGGCAAUGGGGGCAACCCUGACCGAGCAACGCCGCGUGAGUGAAGAAGCUUUUCGGAUCGUAAAGCUCUGUUGUAAGAGAAGAACGUGUGUGAGAGUGGAAAGUUCACACAGUGACGGUAACUUACCAGAAAGGGACGGCUAACUACGUGCCAGCAGCCGCGGUAAUACGUAGGUCCCGAGCGUUGUCCGGAUUUAUUGGGCGUAAAGCGAGCGCAGGCGGUUUAAUAAGUCUGAAGUUAAAGGCAGUGGCUUAACCAUUGUUCGCUGUGGAAACUGUUAAGCUUGAGUGCAGAAGGGGAGAGUGGAAUUCCAUGUGUAGCGGUGAAAUGCGUAGAUAUAUGGAGGAACACCGGUGGCGAAAGCGGCUCUCUGGUCUGUAACUGACGCUGAGGCUCGAAAGCGUGGGGAGCAAACAGG